AGCUCAGCAUCAUCGAUGAGCAAUCAUAAUCCUUCGAGGAUGGCUGUUGAUGCAGCACUUGGUGGGUCAUCUCUAACAUUUGCAUAUGCGGUUGUUAAAGAUCUCUGUGUGUACAUGAAGCACAGGAGAAGACACGUGAAAGAUUUACUAGACAAUCUUGAAUAUCUUGGACUCGAAGCAGAUAUUCUUCAUGCCCGUUGGCAUGACUAUGAAGAAGAUAUCGAUCGUCGAGCAGGCUCCGUACAGAGACGUCUACAACAUGGAGCAUGGAAGAAGGUAGUAUUCCGGUUGUUGCAUGAUUACAAAAAGAUAAUUGAAAAGUACAGAAAGAUGACAGCAGCAACUGGAAACCAAAGGCGCCAGGAAGUGGAAGGUUCGAACAGAGCGGUUGAGAAUGAGAGGAGCACAAAUGCACCGAUCCAUGAACUGCCGGAUAUUUCCCACUUAAGGGAGCACAAAUUAUGGACUAAAAAAUUCUUCAAGCUUGCAAGGCUCGAUAAAGACAUUAUGAAGCUAAGGGAAAAAAUUGCUUCAGCCCGAAAGGACAUACAACUUGCGGAUUUAACAGGUGCAGUGAGGCCAAAAGCUGUUAUAAGAAUGGAAGAUGCUAAAAACCUAGAUGUUAUGCCUUCGCAUAAAAAGAUCCUUGAUGAACUCCUUGGUGAACUGCAGACCUGUGGAGUUGAGGCAGAAGCAGAAGCGGAAGCAGAGGCAGAAACAGAAGCAGAAGCAGAGGCAGAAGUAGAAGCAGAAGCAGAAGCAAAAGCAAAAUUGAAAAGGAUUGCUAUCUGUGGAGAAGCGCAAGUUGGAAAAACAAAUAUCAUGAAGAACUUGAAUAACUGGUUUGAUUCAUGCCCUCCUUCAGUGAAACUCGACUACGUCAUUUGGGUGACUGUUCCAACUAAUCUGCACGAGAAAGAGAAUGUCAUCAAAACCAUACAAGAGAUUAUUCUUCGGCGUUUGGAGUUAACUGAGCAGAUUAGUACAAUUGAUAAGAAUAAAGAUACAAUAUCUACAGAAUUACGUGAAAAAUCAUAUUUGCUGCUUUUUGAGGGGUUUUCUUCAUCAAUUCAGCUUGGGGAGAUUGGAGUCUCUUAUGAACAUAAGCACGGGAUAGUCGUGAUUGAAACUACAGAUCCAGUUUUGCUGAGGAGUUUUGGUUUCGACCAAAAAAUCAAAGUAGAAAAGUUACCAUACAAUGAUUCGAGAAAAUUGUUUGAUAAGAUCAUGGAAGGUGAAAAACUAAGUAAAGAGUGUUGUGAUCUGAUUGGGCUGAUUCUUAAAGAGCUUGGCGGGCUUCCAGGGGUGAUCUCAUUCAUUGCGACGUUGCUAAAAAGCAAAAUAGAUGCAGAAUUUUGGGGAACUAUAAAGGACAAAUUAACAGCAGAUGUUGGUGAAUCUGAAGAUCUGGGACUAGGAGGAUUAUUUAAGGCUUUUGAGAUAGCUUAUGAAGGCUUGAAAGAGGAUCGUUGCAAAAGUUGCCUACUUUAUGCAGCAUUGUUUCCUAAAGGCUUCACAAUUCCCAUUAAUGUUUUAGUCGAAUGUUGGAAAGCUGAAGGUUUUCUUUGCUGUCCUGCUCCUACAUUCCUUAAGGCCCGAGGAGAUGGAAUUUUCAUACUGCACAAGCUGACUGGGCAUUAUCUCUUAGAGAGCUGUUCUGAACAGUACGUUAAGAUGCCAAUACUCUUCAGGAGAUUUGCAAUUCGUACAACUUUCCCCGGGGAGAAAGUUGGAACAUCCUUUGUCAGGUCAGGUCCAAAGAUAGACGGACACCUAAAAGACGAAGAAUGGAAGAUGGCCAGAAGGGUGUCUUUGAUACAAAGCCAAUUGGAGGAAUUACCUGUGAGCCUAGAAUGUGGGGGCAUAUCAACACUAUUUCUGCAACUUAACCCAGACUUGAGAAGCAUUAAGGAACCGUUCUUCACAACUUUGAAGGAACUUCGAGUUUUGGACCUGCACAGCACCGGAAUACAAUUGUUGCCAUCCUCUAUUUCCUCCUUGACUGAGCUUCGCAGUUUAUACCUCAACAAUUGCGGUGACCUAACUGAGCUCCCAUCUAAAAUAGUGAAACUCACGAAGCUCGAAGUUCUUGAUAUUCGAGACACCUCAAUCCAUUGUUUACCAGAAGAAGUCAGCAGUUUGGUUGGCCUAAGGUGCUUAAGGUUUUCAUUUGCCCCGGGAAUGUGCAAUCCUAAUCCAAAGCCAAGAUUGUGGGAACGUAUUGUGCGGCGCCCAAAUUAUCGCACAACAGUGAGAAGGGUAAUAUUUCCCCCUGGAGCAGCUGAUCAGCUUAGUAAGCUUGAGGAGAUGACUAUUGUCUUAGUAAAUGGAAGCAGUGAUGGCAUUGUUGAUCGAAUAGAAGCAGAGGUGCUUGAAUUUAAGAACAAAAAUAGUCAGUUUAAGUUAAUUCUUCACAGGCCAUCCCAAUCACUGGACCAACGGAAUCCCGUCCAACUGAGGGGAGAGGGAAUAACCCUUCCGAAUCAAAGUGUUGCUGCAAGUCAAGUUCAUGAUCCAACAACAGGAAACCAGUCUCCGAGAUCAGAUAAUGAGGGCCGUUCUAGAGGUGGAACAACUAAUGCAAACUCUCAGGCAAGGAGGAAGGAUAAAGGGAAGGGACUUGCAAUUUUUAAGCCUAAAAAUAAAGCCCGGAAUAUUGGUGUGGUGAUAAGAGAGCCUUUAGAAACAAAUGGGAGUCGAGUUGAUAUUCAUGAAGAAGCCAAUGUUAUUGUUGAUCAGCAGGUAGAUAGAGUUACGGUAGAUGCUAUUGACCGGCCAAAAUUCUUGGAUGAAGCAAGUACUUCAGGAACUGCUCGUGGAGCAGACUAGCAUCUUUUACUUCAACGCAUUUCUUUGUUUUCCACUAUACAAAGGAGUGCAAGGUCCUUUCCAUGACUAUGGCUUGCAAUAUGAUGUUAUAGAGAUUGUCUGCAGGAAAAUUUUGAAAAGGGUGCAUUUGGAUCUUUAAUUGAUGAAUGGAAAGAAGUAGGGAGUCAAUUUGAAGCCCUAAAUUCCUCAGGCAAAGUGCAAAGAAGACAAAGAAUGUUAAGGCGCUCUUCUCAACCUAUUUCUAGAUGCCCAUGCAGAUUAACAACAACGAUGAAGCCCUCAUGGACAAACUAGAACCCAACAAGAAGAUAUGUUAUUUGCCCUUUAUGAGAGCACCAAACAACAUCAAAUUAGACACGAAAUUUGAGAUAUUGUGGGGCAAAGAAGAAUAGGACGCUGGCGACGGGAUGACAAAGGCGAGGAUGAAGACGAAGAAGAGGAAUAAAGCUCCGGAAAUAGAGAAAACAAAGGUUUCCAUCACGAGAGAGGGAUUCUGCUAAGCUAAGACGCCCUAUGAUUCAAGAUGAUUAGUUACCAAUUGGGAAAUCUCGGUCUUCUUCACAUUUUUCCAUGGAGAAGGCACGAUUGGAAUUGGGAUUGAGAAAAAUUCUCUCAGCCAUUAUCACAAACACCCCCAAGGCGUUCAAUUUCUUCUCUAAUUUUCAGAAUUAAAAAACAACGAAUUGAACGCACUAUUUCUUGACAAAAACCAGUCUAAGAUUGACAACAAAAGAAACGAAUUGAACGCAGCAUUUCUUAACAAAAACCAGUCUAAGAUUGACAACAAAAGAAUCUAUACAAAUAAGAUUUCACAGAAAUCGCCAAAAUUUUCUUGGUUUCUUUGUUUUAUUUCCAUAACAUUAAUAUCUUUUUCAGAAAUUCAAGGCAGGGAUCUUGGAAAACAGAGGUAUCAAGAAGGGUAGAUUAGAUUUCAAUAAGUGACCUGAUAAUGUAAACCUAUUCCUUAUCCACUCUGGAGUGCUCUGAAAUUGAGGCAGAAAAGCAAAAGAAAAAUACGGAAGAAAAGGAUUUAAGUUUCUCUUUUCUUGAGUAGUAUGAUGGAGGGAUUCAGCUGCAAAGUUGGUGCAGGGUGGCUGUGGCGGUGGUGGUGGGUUGACUUGUUUGAUGGAUUUUUUUGGGAGAAUUUGAUCGAAGGAAGAAGAGAUGGGAAAGAAAACCAAAAUAAAAUGGCGAAAGGAAAAAAGAAAAAAAAA